CAUAUUAUACAAAAAGGUAACAGAAAGAAUGAUGCAGGAACAGAUGAUGGGUCAUGUGCACUUCUGUAACAACUCUUAAUGAACAUGUGGUGCUCUUGGUCCUGUUCACUGUACUAUACAAUUUGCACCCAGAAAUUUUCCUGGAGGUGUGAGUUUCGGUAUAAUCACCUAAGGUUAUAUUUUCAUCCUAUCAACUACCACCAAGCUAUUUUUUAACCUUAUCCUUUACUACAGUUUCUGUUUGAGUCUUUUUGGACAAUAAGUUGUCAACAAAACAAGGAUUUUUAUAGUAUUCUGUUCCUUGGGACUCCUCAGUCCCCCAUUGCUCUGGCAUGCUGUUGUCAUGGUUUCAGGACCACCCCAUAGUUGCUGUGAACCAUUUAUCUGGAUUUCUAGCUUCAUUUGACAUCACAGAGGCAGCAGUUUCAAUUUUGGAUUGCCCAGGGUGUGGAUAUUGAGUGCACUCCAGUCCUUCCCCUGCUGCACAAGGUCUCCCUGAGCAGUUGCUCCCACACCUAUUUGAAGCUGUACUUGUCAAGAGGACUUUUGUCUUCACCCAUCUGUGCACAUACACUGAUUCCUUCCUCAACACAAGCUGAACUGUCUGUAUGGGAGGUACUUUUGUGCUUACAGCUAUAAAUCAGAGAAAAGAUAAUGCUUCUUUUUCAGGUAUUGAAAAGCAACCCCUGUUCUGAUGCAGAGAUCUACAGCUCUGGGGCUGUGUCUCUCGGGUGUCUUCUGCACACGCUGAAGCUGCGAGCCAGACUCACAGAGGGCAGGAGCAGCGAUUCCAUGUGCAAUCGAAACGUGACAUUGUGAAGGGCACUGGGGGAGCUCCUGUUGUGUUUCAAGUGUAAAAUACAAAUGCCAGACCUUAACAGCAGCUUGUCCUUCUGCAGAGACAGGCAAAUGAGGCAGAGCCCGAGUGGCUCAGAGGGGCUCUCAGCCAGUCCCACCCCAUGAGCAGAUCAGCCUCCCUGUGGGUGUCCCCAGGUCACUUCUCAUUGCUCUCCACCACUGCCAUCCAUCCCACUAUGGGAAACUGAUGGAAACACAAACUUUUUUGACAUCCCUACAAAUCUGAAGGAAGGGCUGGGUUCCACACCACGAUUCCUUUCUCACCUAUCUCCUAGCCCUGCCACAGCUCUCCUGUAUAACAUCACCUCAAACCAUCCCCACACAUGGGGAGCAAGGGACUGGAUUUUACAACUUUCCUGGGAUAAAAGUUUUAAAAGGUGAAUUAGCCACCUUCCUGAAU
rnacentral:lncRNA from 1 species